rnacentral:rRNA from 1 species
CCGCCUUCGCAUGGGGGUGGUUGGAAAGUUUUUCGGUCAGGGAUGGGCUCGCGGCCUAUCAGCUUGUUGGUGGGGUGAUGGCCUACCAAGGCGACGACGGGUAGCCGGCCUGAGAGGGCGACCGGCCACACUGGGACUGAGACACGGCCCAGACUCCUACGGGAGGCAGCAGUGGGGAAUAUUGCACAAUGGGCGAAAGCCUGAUGCAGCGACGCCGCGUGAGGGAUGAAGGCCUUCGGGUUGUAAACCUCUUUCAGCAGGGAAGAAGCGCAAGUGACGGUACCUGCAGAAGAAGCGCCGGCUAACUACGUGCCAGCAGCCGCGGUAAUACGUAGGGCGCAAGCGUUGUCCGGAAUUAUUGGGCGUAAAGAGCUCGUAGGCGGUUUGUCGCGUCUGGUGUGAAAACUCGAGGCUCAACCUCGAGCUUGCAUCGGGUACGGGCAGACUAGAGUGCGGUAGGGGAGACUGGAAUUCCUGGUGUAGCGGUGGAAUGCGCAGAUAUCAGGAGGAACACCGAUGGCGAAGGCAGGUCUCUGGGCCGCAACUGACGCUGAGGAGCGAAAGCAUGGGGAGCGAACAGGAUUAGAUACCCUGGUAGUCCAUGCCGUAAACGUUGGGCACUAGGUGUGGGGCUCAUUCCACGAGUUCCGUGCCGCAGCAAACGCAUUAAGUGCCCCGCCUGGGGAGUACGGCCGCAAGGCUAAAACUCAAAGGAAUUGACGGGGGCCCGCACAAGCGGCGGAGCAUGCGGAUUAAUUCGAUGCAACGCGAAGAACCUUACCAAGGCUUGACAUGCACGGGAAGCCACCAGAGAUGGUGGUCUCUUUGGACACUCGUGCACAGGUGGUGCAUGGUUGUCGUCAGCUCGUGUCGUGAGAUGUUGGGUUAAGUCCCGCAACGAGCGCAACCCUCGUCCCAUGUUGCCAGCGGGUUAUGCCGGGGACUCAUGGGAGACUGCCGGGGUCAACUCGGAGGAAGGUGGGGAUGACGUCAAAUCAUCAUGCCCCUUAUGUCUUGGGCUUCACGCAUGCUACAAUGGCCGGUACAAAGGGCUGCGAUACCGUAAGGUGGAGCGAAUCCCAAAAAGCCGGUCUCAGUUCGGAUUGGGGUCUGCAACUCGACCCCAUGAAGUCGGAGUCGCUAGUAAUCGCAGAUCAGCAACGCUG